GUUCUAAUUCUGAUUUUCCUUUUUGGGCAUUGCUGUUGCACUAAAGUGUGGAGCGAUUAAGGCACAAUUCGACAGUACGGUGGGCACACAUCCUUCGGCUGCUGAGAAGUUUGUGACCAUGCGAUCUGUUUCAAGGCGUAUCACCGUUGGUGGGAAACCAAAGACAAAUCUGUAGACUAUGUAUUCAAGAUAUCUUACAUGGAUGGGGUUU